GACGAACGCUGGCGGCGUGCUUAACACAUGCAAGUCGAACGGAAAGGCCCCUUUGGGGGUCCUCGAGUGGCGCACGGGUGAGUAACACGUGAGUAACCUGCCCUUGACUUCGGGAUAACUUCAGGAAACUGGGGCUAAUACCGGAUAGGAAUCCUUGCUGCAUGGUGGGGGUUGGAAAGCUUCGGCGGUUUUGGAUGGACUCGCGGCUUAUCAGCUUGUUGGUGGGGUAGUGGCUUACCAAGGCUUUGACGGGUAGCCGGCCUGAGAGGGCGACCGGCCACAUUGGGACUGAGAUACGGCCCAGACUCCUACGGGAGGCAGCAGUGGGGAAUAUUGCACAAUAGGCGGAAGCCUGAUGCAGCAACGCCGUGUGCGGGAUGACGGCCUUCGGGUUGUAAACCGCUUUCAGCAGGGGCGAAGCUUGUGGUGACGGUACCUGCAGAAGAAGCACCGGCUAACUACGUG
rnacentral:rRNA from 1 species